ACACGACUCUYGGCAACGGAUAUCUCGGCUCUCGCAUCGAUGAAGAACGUAGCGAAAUGCGAUACCUGGUGUGAAUUGCAGAAUCCCGCGAACCAUCGAGUCUUUGAACGCAAGUUGCGCCCGAGGCCUCUUGGCCGAGGGCACGCCUGCCUGGGAGUCACGC
rnacentral:rRNA from 1 species